CCUACGGGGUGCUGCAGUGAGGAAUAUUGGUCAAUGGGCGGGAGCCUGAACCAGCCAAGUCGCGUGAGGGAAGACGGUCCUAUGGAUUGUAAACCUCUUUAGGCGGGGAGCAAUGCCGGGCACGUGUGCCCGGUGGGAGAGUACCCGCAGAAUACGCAUCGGCUAACUCCGUGCCAGCAGCCGCGGUAAUACGGAGGUUGCGAGCGUUAUCCGGAUUUAUUGGGUUUAAAGGGUGCGUAGGCGGAUUUUUAAGUCAGCGGAAAAAUGUCCGGGCUCAACCCGGUCCGGUCGUUGAAACUGGGGAUCUUGAGUGGGCGAGAAGUAUGCGGAAUGCGGGGUGUAGCGGUGAAAUGGAUAGAAAU
rnacentral:rRNA from 1 species